rnacentral:rRNA from 1 species
UACGUAGGGAGCAAGCGUCGUUCGGAUUUACUGGGCGUAAAGGGCGCGUAGGCGGCGUGUUAAGUCAGCUGUGAAAUCUCCAAGCUCAACUUGGAACGGCCAGCUGAUACUGAUGUGCUAGAGUGCAGAAGGGGCAAUCGGAAUUCUUGGUGUAGCGGUGAAAUGCGUAGAUAUCAAGAGGAACACCUGAGGUGAAGACGGGUUGCUGGGCUGACACUGACGCUGAGGCGCGAAAGCCAGGGGAGCAAACGGG